rnacentral:rRNA from 1 species
ACAGUGGACGCGAGCAUCUUUGUUGUAAGUGUUUAAGAGCGUACGGUGGAUGCCUUGGCACCAGGAGCCGAUGAAGGACGUAGGAGGCUGCGAUAAGCCUCGGGGAGCUGUCAACCGAGCUGAGAUCCGAGGAUGUCCGAAUGGGGAAACCCAGCCACAGUGAUGUGUGGUUACCCGCGCCUGAAUAUAUAGGGCGUGUGGAGGGAACGUGGGGAAGUGAAACAUCUCAGUACCCACAGGAAGAGAAAACAACAUGUGAUUCCGUGAGUAGUGGCGAGCGAAAGCGGAAGAGGCUAAACCAUGGGUGUGUGAUAGCCGGCGGGCGUUGCAUUCGUGGGGUUGUGGGAUCCGUCUUGUCAAUUCUGCCGGAUUGGCCGACAGUGAGAAAUCAUCGUGUUAGUCGAAGUGGUCUGGAACGGCCUGUCGUAGAGGGUGAGAGUCCCGUAGACGAAAACAUGGUGACUGUCGUGACGGACACCCGAGUAGCAGCGGGCCCGUGAAAUCUGCUGUGAAUCUGUCGGGACCACCCGAUAAGCCUGAAUACUCCCUGGUGACCGAUAGCGGACUAGUACCGUGAGGGAAAGGUGAAAAGUACCCCGGGAGGGGAGUGAAAUAGUACCUGAAACCGUGCGCUUACAAUCCGUCAGAGCCUGCGCCACUUUGGUGGGUGGGUGAUGGCGUGCCUUUUGAAGAAUGAGCCUGCGAGUUAGCGGCAUGUCGCGAGGUUAACCCGUGUGGGGUAGCCGUAGCGAAAGCGAGUCCGAAUAGGGCGUUUGUAGUGGCAUGUUCUAGACCCGAAGCGGAGUGAUCUACCCAUGGCCAGGGUGAAGCGACGGUAAGACGUCGUGGAGGCCCGAACCCACUUAGGUUGAAAACUGAGGGGAUGAGCUGUGGGUAGGGGUGAAAGGCCAAUCAAACUCCGUGAUAGCUGGUUCUCCCCGAAAUGCAUUUAGGUGCAGCGUCGCGUGUUUUCACUCUGGAGGUAGAGCUACUGGAUGGCCGAUGGGCCCCACAAGGUUACUGACGUCAGCCAAACUCCGAAUGCCAGAGUGUGAGAGCGCGGCAGUGAGACUGCGGGGGAUAAGCUUCGUAGUCGAGAGGGAAACAGCCCAGAUCGCCGGCUAAGGCCCCUAAGCGUGUACUAAGUGGAAAAGGAUGUGGGGUCGCGAAGACAACCAGGAGGUUGGCUUAGAAGCACCACCCUUGAAAGAGUGCGUAAUAGCUCACUGGUCAAGUGAUCCUGCGCCGACAAUGUAGCGGGGCUCAAGUACACCGCCGAAGCCGCGGCAUUCACAUAACACCCAUGCGGGUCUACGGGCCUGUGUGCAGUGGUGUGGAUGGGUAGGGGAGCGUCGUGCAGCCAUGGAAGCGCCGGAGUGAUCCAGGUGUGGAGGCUGCACGAGUGAGAAUGCAGGCAUGAGUAGCGAAAGACGAGUGAGAAACUCGUCCGCCGAAUGACCAAGGGUUCCUGGGCCAGGUUAAUCCGCCCAGGGUGAGUCGGGACCUAAGGCGAGGCCGACAGGCGUAGUCGAUGGACAACGGGUUGAUAUUCCCGUACCCGUGUGAACGCGCCCCUGGUGAAUCAGUGAUGCUAAGCGCCCUGAAGCCGCCUUCGAACCUUCGGGUUCUCCGGGUGUGGAUGCGCGUGAACCGAUCUGGUAGUAGCCAAGCGAUGGGGUGACGCAGGAAGGUAGCUGAGCCAGUCAGUGGUAAUACUGGUGUAAGCGUGUAGGGCGUGACCUAGGCAAAUCCGGUCACACACAGCCUGAGACGUGAUGCGUAGCCGAUUGAGGCGAAUUCAGUGAUCCUAUGCUGCCGAGAAAAGCCUCUAGCGAGCUUUCACACGGCCCGUACCCCAAACCGACACAGGUGGUCAGGUAGAGAAUACUAAGGCGAUCGAGAUAACUGUGGUUAAGGAACUCGGCAAAAUGCCCCCGUAACUUCGGGAGAAGGGGGGCUCGUCUGGUGACGGAACUUGCUUCCUGAGCUGGGUGGGGCCGCAGAGACCAGAGAGAAGCGACUGUUUACUAAACCAAAAUAACAGUCCGUGCGGAAGUCGUAAGACGAUGUAUACGGACUGACGCCUGCCC